rnacentral:rRNA from 1 species
UUAUUAUGGAGAGUUUGAUCCUGGCUCAGGAUGAACGCUGGCGGCGUGCCUAAUACAUGCAAGUCGAGCGAACAGACGAGGAGCUUGCUCCUCUGACGUUAGCGGCGGACGGG